rnacentral:rRNA from 1 species
UACGGAGGGUGCAAGCGUUAUCCGGAAUCACUGGGUUUAAAGGGUGCGUAGGCGGCCCAAUAAGUCAGUCGUGAAAUCGCUGGGCUCAACCCAUGCAAUUGCGAUUGAUACUGUUGGACUUGAAUGGGGUUGAGGCUGGCGGAAUGCGACAUGUAGCGGUGAAAUGCUUAGAUAUGUCGCAGAACACCGAUUGCGAAGGCAGCCAGCUGGGCCUUUAUUGACGCUGAGGCACGAAAGCGUGGGGAGCAAACAGGAUUAGAUACCCUGGUAGUCCACGCCCUAAACGAUGCUCACUUGCUGUUCCUCUUUCGGGGGGAGUGGCGUAGGGAAACCGGUAAGUGAGCCACCUGGGGAGUACGCCCGCAAGGGUG